rnacentral:rRNA from 1 species
AUGCAAGUAGAACGCUGAAGAGAGGAGCUUGCUCUUCUUGGAUGAGUUGCGAACGGGUGAGUAACGCGUAGGUAACCUGCCUUGUAGCGGGGGAUAACUAUUGGAAACGAUAGCUAAUACCGCAUAACAAUGGAUGACACAUGUCAUUUAUUUGAAAGGGGCAAUUGCUCCACUACAAGAUGGACCUGCGUUGUAUUAGCUAGUAGGUGAGGUAAUGGCUCACCUAGGCGACGAUACAUAGCCGACCUGAGAGGGUGAUCGGCCACACUGGGACUGAGACACGGCCCAGACUCCUACGGGAGGCAGCAGUAGGGAAUCUUCGGCAAUGGGGGCAACCCUGACCGAGCAACGCCGCGUGAGUGAAGAAGGUUUUCGGAUCGUAAAGCUCUGUUGUAAGUCAAGAACGGGUGUGAGAGUGGAAAGUUCACACUGUGACGGUAGCUUACCAGAAAGGGACGGCUAACUACGUGCCAGCAGCCGCGGUAAUACGUAGGUCCCGAGCGUUGUCCGGAUUUAUUGGGCGUAAAGCGAGCGCAGGCGGUUUGAUAAGUCUGAAGUUAAAGGCUGUGGCUCAACCAUAGUUCGCUUUGGAAACUGUCAAACUUGAGUGCAGAAGGGGAGAGUGGAAUUCCAUGUGUAGCGGUGAAAUGCGUAGAUAUAUGGAGGAACACCGGUGGCGAAAGCGGCUCUCUGGUCUGUAACUGACGCUGAGGCUCGAAAGCGUGGGGAGCGAACAGGAUUAGAUACCCUGGUAGUCCACGCCGUAAACGAUGAGUGCUAGGUGUUGGAUCCUUUCCGGGAUUCAGUGCCGCAGCUAACGCAUUAAGCACUCCGCCUGGGGAGUACGACCGCAAGGUUGAAACUCAAAGGAAUUGACGGGGGCCCGCACAAGCGGUGGAGCAUGUGGUUUAAUUCGAAGCAACGCGAAGAACCUUACCAGGUCUUGACAUCCCGAUGCUAUUUCUAGAGAUAGAAAGUUACUUCGGUACAUCGGUGACAGGUGGUGCAUGGUUGUCGUCAGCUCGUGUCGUGAGAUGUUGGGUUAAGUCCCGCAACGAGCGCAACCCCUAUUGUUAGUUGCCAUCAUUCAGUUGGGCACUCUAGCGAGACUGCCGGUAAUAAACCGGAGGAAGGUGGGGAUGACGUCAAAUCAUCAUGCCCCUUAUGACCUGGGCUACACACGUGCUACAAUGGUUGGUACAACGAGUUGCGAGUCGGUGACGGCGAGCUAAUCUCUUAAAGCCAAUCUCAGUUCGGAUUGUAGGCUGCAACUCGCCUACAUGAAGUCGGAAUCGCUAGUAAUCGCGGAUCAGCACGCCGCGGUGAAUACGUUCCCGGGCCUUGUACACACCGCCCGUCACACCACGAGAGUUUGUAACACCCGAAGUCGGUGAGGUAACCUUUUGGAGCCA